rnacentral:misc_RNA from 1 species
GGAAGGAUCAUUAUAGAAAGCUUCGGCUACUUUGAUGCUUUUAACCCUUGUGUUUACCUGCCAUUUGUUGCUUCCGUCGGUCUUUUCCCCCCACCAGGGGUAUCGGCCGGCGGGGGGCCUUUAAUGAAACUAUUUUUUUUUGCCGUCGAUCUGUUAUUGUCUGACUCACUUGAGAGAUAAAUGCUUUCAAAACUUUCAACAACGGAUCUCUUGGCUCCUGCAUCGAUGAAGAACGCAGCGAAAUGCGAUAAUUAAUGUGAAUUGCAGAUUCAGUGAAUCAUCGAGUCUUUGAACGCACAUUGCGCCCCAUGGUAUUCCGUGGGGCAUGCCCGUCUCAGCGUCAGCAUAAAUCUAAUCACCUCCGGAAUUGCAUUCUGGAGGUGGAUUGCUUCGCGCAAGGAGCCACCAUCAGGCGGCUCCUGCUCGCAAAACAAUGGAACUCACGCCAGGCCCUCUUGCCGCGACACGUCGUAAGAUGUUAAUUCGUUAGCGAAAGAGGCUGAUGCGUGGAGGCAUUCACAAAUUCAACUCGCCAUCCAAGGAAGGCGUUGCGUUGCAGAUACCUUGACCUGAGAUCGGGUAGGGAUACCCGCUGAACUUAAGCAUAUCAAUAAGCGGAGGAAAAGAAACCAACCGGGAUUGCCUCAGUAACGGCGAGUGAAGCGGCAAGAGCUCAGAUUUGAAAGCUGGCAUUUUUGAUGUCCGCAUUGUAAUCUGCAGAGGGGUGUUCGGGUGCGGCUCGGACUGAAGUUCCUUGGAACAGGGCAUCAUAGAGGGUGAGAGUCCCGUGCACAGUUCAUGUCCUGCGCUCAUGUGAACCCCCUUCGGUGAGUCGAGUUGUUUGGGAAUGCAGCUCUAAAUGGGUGGUAUAUUUCAUCUAAAGCUAAAUACUGGCAGGAGACCGAUAGCGCACAAGUAGAGUGAUCGAAAGAUGAAAAGAACUUUGGAAAGAGAGUUAAACAGUACGUGAAAUUGUUGAAAGGGAAGCACUUGAAUCCAGACUUGCUUGAGGCUGAUCAGCCGUCAAUUCUUUGGCGGCGCACUCGGUCGCUGGCAGGCCAGCAUCAGUCAAAGUGGUGGGAAAAAGGUGCAGGGAAUGUGGCUCCUUCGGGAGUGUUAUAGCCCUGGGCGUAAUGCCACCUGCUGUGACUGAGGACCGCGCUACGGCGAGGAUGUUGGCUUAAUGGGUGCAAGUGACCCGUCUUGAAACACGGACCAAGGAGUCUAACAGCUGUGCAAGUGUUUGGGCUGAAAACCCGGGCGCGAAAUGAAAGUGAAUGGAGGUGGGAACCGCAAGGUGCACCAUCGACCGAUCCUGAUGUCUUCGGAAGGAUUUGAGUAGGAGCAUAGCUGUUGGGACCCGAAAGAUGGUGAACUAUGCCUGAAUAGGGUGAAGCCAGAGGAAACUCUGGUGGAGGCUCGCAGCGGUUCUGACGUGCAAAUCGAUCGUCAAAUUUGGGUAUAGGGGCGAAAGACUAAUCGAACCAUCUAGUAGCUGGUUCCGGC